rnacentral:rRNA from 1 species
UACGUAGGGUCCGAGCGUUGUCCGGAAUUAUUGGGCGUAAAGGGCUCGUAGGCGGUUUGUCGCGUCGGGAGUGAAAACACGGGGCUUAACCCCGUGCCUGCUUCCGAUACGGGCAGACUAGAGGUAUGCAGGGGAGAACGGAAUUCCUGGUGUAGCGGUGAAAUGCGCAGAUAUCAGGAGGAACACCGGUGGCGAAGGCGACUUCCUGGCCUGUUCUUGACGCUGAGGCGCGAAAGCUAGGGGAGCAAACGGG